rnacentral:rRNA from 1 species
UACGAAGGGGGCUAGCGUUGUUCGGAAUUACUGGGCGUAAAGCGCGCGUAGGCGGUUUUGCAAGCCAGAGGUGAAAUGCCUGAGCUCAACUUAGGAAUUGCCUUUGGGACUGCGAGGCUUUGAGGACUGGAGAGGUGAGUGGAAUUCCGAGUGUAGAGGUGAAAUUCGUAGAUAUUCGGAAGAACACCAGUGGCGAAGGCGACUUACUGGACGAUUGUUGACGCUGAGGUGCGAAAGCGUGGGGAGCAAACAGG